CGAUGGGGUGACAUCUCUGCAGGACAGUCAGGAAGCACGGAGCACGCAGCGCAAUGGAGAGUCACGGAACUGAUGGAGCCUGUAUAACUGACUCAUAUACCUUGCCAACUACAAAUGAAAUGAUGGAUAACAUUGAUGAGAAAGUGGAGAAGAAACUCAAGUGAGGCAGACUUUGAAGACAGAUUACAUCACACACGUGGAUGAGCUGGGCUCCUACAUAAGGGCCAAGCCUAACAUACCGUGACUCUUCCUCAUGAUCCCCAGCUGGCCCUGGAGGUGUACUUUGGUCCCUGCAGCAGCCCAUACCAGUUUCAGCUGAUGUGACCAGGGAAGUGGAAUGGGGCCAGAAAUGCCAUCCUGACCCAAUGGGAUCAGACAGUAAAGCCCCCCAGGACAAGAGCUGUCAGUCAAGUUCAGAGACCCCAACCCUUUUACAAUUUGCUCAGAAUACUUUCAUUCCCAGUGCUUCUUCCAGCUGUUUUGCUAACAUUUUAUUAAUGAGAAACUCCUUUGAGUAUCAGAGUUUAGCCUAGAAGUUUAAUUACAGAUAUGUACAGUCAUGUACUGCAUAAUGACAUUUUGGUUAACAACAGAUUGCAUACACAACAGUAGUCCCAUAAGAUUAGCACCAUGUAGCCUAGGCAUGUAGUAGGCUAUACCAUCUAGGUUUGUAUAAGGACACUCUAUGACGUUCACACAAUGAGAAAAUUGCCUAAUGAGGAAAUUGUCUAAUGACGCAUUUCUCAGAACGUAUCCCCAUGGUUAAGUGACAUGAGACUGUAUACACAUGUGUACAAGUAUAAAAUCUCAGAGCUCCUCUUUCCCUUCCUGCAGAUGUGAAAAUGAAUCCUGGCUUAUUUAACUCAAAGUCUAAAUAAAAUUGAAAAUAUUCAGUCUCUCCCUUUCUAAUGAGAAUCUAUACUCUAAAAGGUUUUUCACAUGCUGAGUCGGCAAGCUUGGAGAUGUUUGAGAUAAGGAAGAAUAUGAGAGGGUGAAUCAGAGUGAGCACAGAUUUGCAGGCUGAACAAAGUUUAAUGAACUUUUAUUUUUUAAAUAUACUUUUUGGUCAGGAAGAUUGACCCUGAGC